UAGAUAUUUGUUUGGCCAAAAAUUCUUUGGCUUUGGCUUUUUGCAUGUGGUGUUAUCUUUUGGGUGAGCAGAUUCAGAUUUUGUAUCGGUAGAGGCCUUUCUAUAUAUCGGUAUUUGUUUUAUGACCUUGGUGUGAGUAUUCGGUAAGAGAAAAUUUUGAUGAAAGACAAAGAGAGUUUUGGGGACAGAGACAUAGAGCCGAGAGGAUGGAGAUUUGAUAUUCUAGUGAUUUAUUUUUUUUACAGUGGAUUUAGACUUUGCCACAUAUGGCAAAAUUGAAGAGCUCGUCGUGGACUUUAUAUUGAUCGGAGUAAUUUUCAGUUUGGAGCACUUGGGAUUUCGAAUUUUUUGGGCAGAAUUGGGCAUUUUUCUUCUCAUUGAGGUCACGGGAAGGAAGUGGCGGACGACAUUCCUCCAUAGGUUUGAAUGGGUCAUGGGAAGGAAGUGGUGGACGACGUUCCUCCAUAGGUUUGAAUGGGUUGGUUCCCCAAAAAUAGUUAAAAGUGCGGCUUUAUUGAGUUUGUGAAGAAUCAAAGCACACCGUUGCCUAGACCCUUCAUUUUUGCCUAAGCCAGUGUUCCAUUGAACUCCUGGUUAUCCCUGGAAAAAGCAUUAGCCGCGAUCAACGCGUCAACGGACAGAGCCAAAAGCAGCCUGGCAGCAGUGAAGUUCGACUUUGUUCUUCAUUUUUGACCCGCAACACUCCUAUUAAAACAUGACAUACUUAUAUCUUUGAGUUAGCUUUCCAAAUCAUCAAACGGUUUGUUAUUUAGAGUUCAUAACAUAGAGUUAUGGCUUUUUUACCAAAAGUAGCCUGGCAACAGUGAAGUUUUGACUUUGUUUUUCAUUUUCAUACAACACACUUAAGAAUUGGACUCCCAUUAAAACAUAACAUACCUAGAACUUUGAGUUAGCUUUCUAAAUCAUCAAACGGUUCAUCAUUUGGAGUUCGGAGCAGAGAGUUAUGGCCUUUUUACCAAAGGUGAGUAGAGCUAAGGACA